GACGAACCGUGCGAACGUUGUUCGGAUUCACUGGGCUUAAAGGGCACGUAGGCGGCGAUUCAAGUCCGGGGUGAAAGCUUUCGGCUCAACCGGAAAAGUGCCUUGGAUACUGGAUCGCUCGAGGGGGGUAGGGGCAGGCGGAACUUCCGGUGGAGCGGUGAAAUGCGUAGAUAUCGGAAGGAACGCCGGUGGCGAAAGCGGCCUGCUGGACCCCGUCCUGACGCUGAUGCGCGAAAGCCAGGGGAGCAAAGCGGG
rnacentral:rRNA from 1 species